rnacentral:rRNA from 1 species
UGAGUAACACGUAUGCAACCUGCCUAGUAACGACGGGGAAUAACCCGUUGAAAGACGGACUAAUACCGCAUAAUACUAAAUUACUGCAUGGUAAUUUAUUUAAACAUUUAUGGCUUACAGAUGGGCAUGCGCAUGAUUAGCUAGUUGGAGAGGUAACGGCUCCCCAAGGCAACGAUCAUUAGGGGUUCUGAGAGGAAGGUCCCCCACACUGGUACUGAGACACGGACCAGACUCCUACGGGAGGCAGCAGUGAGGAAUAUUGGUCAAUGGACGAGAGUCUGAACCAGCCAAGUCGCGUGCAGGAAGAAUGUCCCUAUGGAUUGUAAACUGCUUUUGCAGGGGAAUAAAGUGCAUCACGUGUGAUGUUUUGUAUGUACUCUGCGAAUAAGGAUCGGCUAACUCCGUGCCAGCAGCAGC